rnacentral:tRNA from 1 species
GGCUUUAGCUCAGCUGGGAGAGCGCCUGCUUUUGCACGCAGGAGGUCAACGGUUCGAUCCCGUUAAGCUCCAUU